GGAAAGAUUGGCACAGAUGUUAGCUCGGGACCUAUCUUCCUCAAGCAAAAAGAGAAAGGUUGGCAACACAUGUUAGCUCAGGGCCAAUCUCCCUCACCAAAGGAAAAAAAUGGAUUCCAAUCCAAUCCAUCACCAAUCAAAAGUUACACAGAGGCUGUAACUCUUUGUAAAAAACAAAAACAAAACCCAACUAUAUACUGCCCACAGGAGACUCACUUCAGCUUUAAGGACACACAUAGGCUCAAAGUGAGGGUAUGGAAAAAGAUAUUCCAUGCAAGUGCUAUCUAAAAGAAACUGGAGGGUAGCUACACUUAUAUCAGCCCUGCCUUCCACCUCCACAUCUUGUCCCACUGAAAAGUCUUCAGGAGCAACACAAAGACGGAGUUGUCAUCUCCUAUGCCUUCUUCUGGAACACUUCCUGAAGGACCUGCUGAGGCUCUUCUUGAGGAGGUGUACCUCUUUUCAGAAAUAUAUCCAUGGUGGUUUGCUUGGUUUGUUUCUAUUUUCCAUAAUAGAUUUGCCUGUAAGCAGAUAAUGCAUCAUGAACAUUCCUCUCUAUUAAUGAAAACCUUUCCGUGUUGGGGUCUACCUUUUCAAACUCUUUAAGAAGCUUGUUGAGGUCUGCAAAAGCUUCUGCAGAGCCCCUCACUGUGAAUUUUCUUGGGCAUUCUUUUUCUUUUCCUGUAGUUUCCUUUUCUCUUGCUUCUUUUUCAGCUAUGCACUCCUGUUCUGUUUCCAACAACUCCUCAUUAGUCAAUUCCUCUGGAACCACCUCUAGGAGCUCCUUGAUGUCAUCCUCAUCUACAUCCAUGUUAAAGUGUUUGCCAUCUCAACCACAGCAGUGCUGAUUUUUGCAACUUCCUCAUCCAUGGCAAAUCAUUUGAAGUCAUGGACGAACCUCUUUAGUGUCUUCUUCCAGCUGCCAUUCAUACACUUUCUGGUGAUAUCACCCCAACCCCAGCUAGGUUCUUGAUGCAGUCACAGAUGUUGUAAUCUUUCCAGAAUCGAAUCACUGUCUUCUCAGUGCCUUCCUCAAUUGCAGCAAUAGCUUGGGCAAAGGUCCUCCUCAGGUAGUAGCCCUUAAAACCUGCUGUAACUCCUUGAUCCAUUAGUUGGAUCAAAAAGAUGGUGUUUGGAGGGAGAAACACUGCUUUGAUAUUGGGAUGAACAUCACCAAUAAAAGGAGGAUGUCUGGAAGCAUCAUCAACAAUAUGCAAAAUUUUGAAAGGUCAGUCACUUGAUGUGGUCUCUUACUGUCAACAAUACCAGUGAAUUUUGUAAGCUUAGGGGCUAUGAUGAACGAAACAACACAAGAUUAAAUCAAGCACAAGAGAAAAUGAUGCAAUCAAGAAAUGCAGUAAACACGAGAUGUAUGAGGUUGCUGCCGAGACAACAAAAAGGAGCAACCACAUUCCAACAGAAAAUACCCUAAAAGCACAAAAAUCCUCGGAGGGUCAUGGCAGCCACAGGACAGAGGGCGGAGAAGCUGGAGCCCCACUCAGAGGAGCUGGAACAGGGUAAGAGAGAACUUCGCUCCCUCCUCUAAAGACUGCAGUCACUGCCGUGGGAGGUUCCAUGAGGGAAGGAGUGGGGGAGGGGUCGCGAAUCCACAGGAUCAUCCAGGACUCCCUAGGGUCCUUGCAGCCUAGAGGGAAGCCCUCUAAUGGGGCGAAAGCUUUCACACACGGUGACCUUAUCAAACCAAGACCCCAGGAGACCAGAUAGUGAGAGCUGAUCCAGAAACCCGGGACUGCACACAGGAGAAAGCGCCCCUCCCCUGACCCACCUUGCGCCAUCUCGGCUGAAGGCAGAGGGUUCAGAAUAUGCGGCUCUUGACCCCUCAUCCACUGGCGAUAGGCUGUAACUGCAACCAAAUAAUAUCAGAAUGGGAAAGACACAAACUUCCAACAUCAGGUAAUUCCUCACAUCUCCAGACCAGAGAGCAAACAACAAGCACCCAGAACUCAGUCCUGAGGACACAGAAAUAAGCAAACUAAAUGGCAAAGAAUUCAAAAUAGCUAUCAUCAAAAAACUCAAUGAGGUAAAAGAGAACGUAGAGAAACAAUUCAACAAAUUCAGGAGCUACUUCACAAAAGAGAUUGAAACUGUAAAGAAGAAUCAAUCAGAAAUAUUAGAGAUGAAAGACACAACGGAAGAGACGAAACAAAAUACUAUCCACUGAAUGUUUGUGUGGACACCAUAGAGGAGUGAAUCAGCAUAAUCCAAGAUAGACAUGUUGAAAUGCUCCAGACAGAGGAGGAGAGAGAAGUAAGACUAAAAAGAAAUGAAGAAAGUCUCUGAGAAAUAUCCGACUCAAUGAGGAAAUGCAACAUAAGAAUUAUAGGUAUUCAAGAAGGAGAAGAGAAGGAGAAUGGAGC
rnacentral:lncRNA from 1 species